rnacentral:rRNA from 1 species
UACGUAGGGGGCAAGCGUUGUCCGGAUUUAUUGGGCGUAAAGAGCGUGCAGGCGGUCAGGUAGGUCGGUUGUGAAAACUGGAGGCUCAACCUUCAGAGGUCGACCGAAACCCCCUGGCUAGAGUCCGGGAGAGGAGAGUGGAAUUCCUGGUGUAGCGGUGAAAUGCGCAGAUAUCAGGAAGAACACCCGUGGCGAAAGCGGCUCUCUGGAACGGUACUGACGCUGAGACGCGAAAGCGUGGGGAGCGAACAGG